ensembl:lncRNA
CACCACUUCUGCCCUCCUUGCCUGGGCACCCCUCUAACAGGAAGUUAAGCCAUGCUGAGCUAUAUAUGUGAGCACUGUGCAUGACUACCUGCACUCUCAGAUUGUUAGCACAGCUCCACAUAAGAAUGCUGACAAUGCAUUUGCUAAUCCAGGGUAGCAAUCAUGGAAAUGGGUAGACCAGCUACACCCCACCACUCCAACAAAAGGCAAUUUACAUUCUGUAAUGUGUGUAGAAAUCUGUUUCCUUCCAUCAUAAUCCAUAGAACAAUAAACAAUUUCUCAGUUGCUCACAAUAGGAAACAAAAGUAGGGCAGUAAGGCAAAAAUCAGCCCUCACAAAUCCCAUGGGUGAUGACCCAGGGAACAAAAGGUCAAUAAACAUAUUUCAGAUAUUCAAGAAGAUAGUGGAGUAAAUCUUUUACCAGUCAUUCUGUAAUCAGUAGAGUGUAAAAUACCAGCAUGGCUUUGUUCCAGGGUGAUUGUGCCAAAACAAUCAAACCUUCUUCUUCAAGAAGGAGCUCAAGUUAGUGGAUGCUGUCUUGACGUCCGUAGCAUGCCUGUCAAAACCACAAAGGCCUCUGUGAGCCAGGCAGAUUUCCUGACUGUGCUUGUGCGUCCAUCUGCUCUGAGGCAUCAACUUGCUGAAGAGGCAAUAAAGAAAAACUUUAAAGAGAACAGAAACAACCUAAUGAUAGUUUCACACAUCUGUAGAUUAGCAUUUUAUCAUUUAACAACCGUAAAAGAAAACAAUGGGUGCGUAGUCAGGCUCCUAUCAGAGAUCUCCUAUGACCUCAGCUGGCCCCAGAAGAGCUGCAGAGUGUGAUAUAUUGCUCCCUGAGAUCCUGCCCUGGCACACAAAGCCCUCUGUCUGGCUUCCAGGCUCCUAACCCAUUGCCUUAGGAGAGAGGUGAUUUUCUCUACAUUAGAUGCAAAUUGCAAACAAAGGCCAAGCAAGGAGAGGCCUGGAUCAAUUUAAGAGGAAUCAAGGUCUGACUUGUUUUAAUCUUCCCACACAUUCUGUGUUUUGACAUAGGCAAGAAUUACAGACUUCUCAAGGCAUGGCAGAGAGCUAUUGGAAAGACUCAUAUAUAUACUACUCCCAGGGCCUUUUGUGAGGAUCCUUAAAUGUCUCUCAGCCUCUCCACAAACCACUACUUGCUGUACUAUGAUACACAUAAAACUCUCAAACCUCUUACUUUUUUCAUACACAAGUGGCAGGGACCUUGAUGUUAAUACGUUUAUUA